GCAGCGUGGAGCGGAGAAAGCACUACAAACUCUGAAAGUGUCUUUUCGGCACUCCAUUCCUCUAGCCGUGGCGUUUGCUGCUCUCAAGUUUUCCAUAGCUUUUGGACCAGCCAGGCAAACUGAGUGGAUUGCAGCAAAAAUUUGAAGCUUUUGAACAAAAAUGAACACAGAAACAUGGAAAAUAAAUUCUUAAACUGUUCUCAGAAAGAUAAAUUCCAG